rnacentral:rRNA from 1 species
CCUACGGGAGGCAGCAGUGAGGAAUAUUGGUCAAUGGACGAGAGUCUGAACCAGCCAAGUAGCGUGAAGGAUGACUGCCCUAUGGGUUGUAAACUUCUUUUAUAUGGGAAUAAAAUGUUCCACGUGUGGGAUUUUGUAUGUACCAUAUGAAUAAGGAUCGGCUAACUCCGUGCCAGCAGCCGCGGUAAUACGGAGGAUCCGAGCGUUAUCCGGAUGUAUUGGGUUUAAAGGGAGCGUAGGUGGAUUGUUAAGUCAGUUGUGAAAGUUUGCGGCUCAACCGUAAAAUUGCAGUUGAAACUGGCAGUCUUGAGUACAGUAGAGGUGGGCGGAAUUCGUGGUGUAGCGGUGAAAUGCUUAGAUAUCACGAAGAUCUCCGAUUGCGAAGGCAGCUCACUGGACUGCAACUGACACUGAGGCUCGAAAGUGUGGGUAUCAAACAGGAGUAGAUACCCGGGUAGUC